UUCAAUGAUGAAAAAAGCCGCAUCAAUUCAUUUCCACAUUUCAAGACCAAGCGGUUACAUCUUCCAAGAGAACCAAAAACCCUCUUCCAUUUAUUUUCCAUCGUUCCCGAUUCUUCCAUGCCCUAAACACAAUAACUCCUUCAAUCUGAUUCGCGCGGCCAGUCGUCUUCCAUUCUCCGUCCGCCAAAUCUGGAAACCCCACCUUCCAUGUAAGUUUGCUCAUUCCUUCUUAAACAUUCUGUCGCUAGUAUAUGAGAAAGUUGAUUGGCUUUCCUGUUCACAUGUUGAAAUCGCACCCACCAGAAUUUUUUCGAAAUUUGUUGAAUAUUCCUUUUAUAAGCACCAAUUUCCGACUUAUCAAGGGAAUUUAUUCGACAUUUAUUAACAACUGAUAACGAGUCCCCUUCAAAGAUGAGAUCUGACCAACCCAUUUCCAUACUUGUUUGUACUGCCCAAGAACAUGCAAGGGCCUCUGCAGCGAAAGCGGACGCAACUUUUUCAUGAAGUAUUGUUCGUGAGACCCGAACCCAACCACCAGUGUUUCUUGCCACAAUUCUAGAGCAAGAUUCAAGACAAUCUUUGUCAAAAGCCUCAUCAAAAUUAACUUUGAUGAGUUCACCAUAUGGGGGAAGCCACUGGUCAUUCGCACUCAUUCUUGUAGGCCCAUCUAACUCUGAUUUAUCAAUUUCCACCAAGUUGCAAAGUAAAUCAUUUGCGAUCUUCUGUCCAGUUCAUGAACCCGUUUUGUUUCUAUCUAACCAGAUUGCCCAUAGUGCUCCUCCAAACAUCCUCCUAGUAUGGUGAUUACCGGCCCAAAUCUGCUCUGUUUAAAACCCAACGAAGGCCUAAUUGUGACCUUACUUCUACUAAUACAGGGCAAUUUCUAAAAACAUGGUCCCAAUUUUCCAUACCCCCCGUACAUCGAGGGCAGACAGUAUUAAUCACCAAGGUUGAAGGUUCAGAUUUGUAAAUGUAGGGAUAUAAUUGUUAGCAAUUCUCCAGAUUAUAAUCUUAAUCUUAGUGGGAAGUUUAAGGCUCUAGAGCUUCCUAUAAAAAGCAUUAGAAAUGGUCUGUAAGUCAUCCAGUGUUCACCCUGCUACACCACAAAGUCAUCAUGUCAGCUCCUUGGCAGAGGCGAUUCUAGGGGGCUGGCAUGGGCCUCAGCCCGAAAAAUUAUUAUUUAAACUUUUUAAUAUUUUUAAAAUUUUAAAUUAGUAAAUGUAAAAUUACACUUUGAUCCCAUAAAAAUAUAAAAAUUUAAUUUAAUACUUAAAAAUUAUAAAAAAUAUAGACUAUACAAAAUUAAAAUUUCAUUCAGCUCCCCCUUAACAAAUUGCUUUGGCUUUUCCCCUAUUCCUUGGCUAAUAGUAUCCACAGAAUUCAUUUCGUAUCCUUAGACGAGAAGGUAUUGAGCACAAUCUCCUUAUUCCAAUCUCUCGUAGUAUUAUAAAUAAGUUACGCCACAAAGGAAACAACAUUAUUUUGCAUGUCAUCACAUAAUUUGUAAUUAAUUAAACCUAGAAUCCAUGCAUGCUCUGAGAUUAAAAUGCUUUCCCUCGAACCAGCCCGCCAACACAAGUCCUUUUGCAAUAAACCUUUGGUAGCCCAAAUACUAUUCCACGAGUAAGUCGGUAAAUUACCUAGCCGUGCAUUUAAAAAAUCAGAACUAGGAUAAUACUUAGCUUUUAAAACACAAGUUAAUAAGGAAUUUGGUUGAUUAAUAAGCCUCUAGCCUUGUUUGGCAAAAAUCGCAAUAUUUGAAUUUUUUCAAAUUGCAAAAGCCCGAACAUCCAUCUUCCUUUAGUGUGCAAAGUCGAGCCCAAUCACACUAAUGUAUCCCUUUCUUACCAUGCCCUUUUUGCCACUAGAACCUCGCUAAUAUACUUUCAGUUUCCCUACGUAACAUCUUGGGUAACAAAAAACAUGCCAUCGAAUAGGUUUGGAUGGCUUGUAACACCAAUUUUAUAAAGACCUCCCCCUUGAGAAAGGAACCGUGUACUCCACCCAUCAAUCCUCUUCUUGAUUCUAUCCUUUAAUGUUUGAGAAGUAACUUUUUUUUGUCGUCCCACCAUAUUUGGUAAGUCCAAGUACCUCUCCGAGUCGUUUAAGUAACACACUCUCAACUAUUGCGAAAUUAGCUCACGAUCUAAUUCUCGAGUAUUUGAGCUAUAAAAUUCGUAGAUUUAUUAUAGGUGACACAUUGUCCUCCCUUUAAAAUUUGGGCACCUCGCUCACUCGUUUCCCCGAAAAGGACAGUCAUUAGCAAAAAGUAAGUUGGAAAUUUAGGGACCUUGUCUGCUUACUUUCACACCUUUUAACAACCCUUCCCCCAAAGCAAGACGCAUGAGGGUGGAUAAACCUUCGCUACAAAUUAGAAAUAAAAAAGGACUUAACGAGUCUCCUUGUCUAAGUCCUCUAUGAGGUCAAAAAGAAACUUUUAUUUAGCUAUUGAUACUAACGAAGUAUGGUACAGUUGAUACAUAUCUCAUAAUGACCCCGGCCCACCUAGAAUCAAACUCCAUGCGUUCCAUCAUAUUCUUAAGAAAUCUCAAUUCAACCCAAUCAUAUGCCUUAUAUCUAAUUUAAAGCCCUUUUUCCCUAUUUUUUUGUCGAAAUGUGUGUAAUAAUUCAUAAGCAAAGAGCACAUUACUCGAAAUUAAAUGUCCCGAGACAAAAGCACUUUGGGCUUUAUCAAUGCAAACUUCCGACACCUGUUGAGAACAGUUUGCUAUUGCCUUUGCUAUCAAUUUAUAAAUAACAUUAUAGAGACUAAUAGGUCUAAAAUUUACCAUCUGUUUUGGUUACGACACUUUUGGAAUAAGAAAUAUAUGUGGCAUUAAUUUGUUCCAUCUCUUUCCCUUCAUUUAAAACUUCUAAACAAAAAGAGGUUACAUAUUCACCUAUGAUAUGGAAACAUUUUUGAAAAAAUAAUAUCGAAAAAUCAACCCCCGACGGUUUUGUUGGCCCCAUAUUUUUUAAAGCCACAAAAAUCUCCUUUUGUCGUAUACCGAGUUGUUAGCAUUAUAUUCAAGUCAUCUAAAAUGCAAUAGGUAACCCCGGAUAGAAUAUGCUCCAUAAAACUUAUCUCGUUAGUAACCAAUAAAUUUUGAAAAUAUUUGGUCGUUACUUCCCCCAUUCUCGAAGUUGUCAAAAUCUCAUCACCAUCUUUAGUUUCGAAGCUUUUUAUGGUAUUAAUUUUCUUGUGAAAUGAAGCAAACAUAUGAAAGAAACUUGUAUUCUUAUCUCUCAAAUACAACGAAUUGGCCCUCGCCCUUUACUCUCAAUAGACUUCAUCUUUAUCGAUUUCCAUAUUCAAAUGUACUUUUGUAUCAAUAAGUUUGGCUGUGUUAUCAUCAUCCCUCUCAUUGUCCAUAAGAGUCUCCAAUUUCUUUUUUAACUAACAUUUUAACCCAGCCCUUUCCAUCUUAACCCUUUUAGCCCAAACUUGUAAACUUUUACGUACACAGCUCAACUUAUCCAGGAUAUUUCCCAAAGUAGAUCCCCAAAUCCUUCUUACCUAUUCUUCAAAUGAAACCUCAAACGUCCAUUAGGCUUCAAACCAAAAUCUAUUCAUUGUUCAUUCAUUCUUUUCCUGAUUCGUAUUGAUUAAGAGCAGGCAGUGAUCGGAAAAAGAAUGGGGUAAAUGUUUAAUUUUUGCAUUUAGAAAACAUGCACAACCAAUCAUUUGUUGCCACUUCUCUAUCCAACCUUUCUCAAAUGUUUAUUUUUAGAAGGUUUCCUCUUUCUCAAGUAAAUCAUGAACCUUUUUUAAGAAGCAUUCAUCUAGAACAUUCUUGAAUAACUCCAUUCGUCAUUCAUUUCUGGGAGCACCUCUAAUUUUCUUAAAAAAUACAUUAUCUCAUUAAAAUCCCUGCAAAUAAGCCAUAGGAGCUCAUGAUUCUUCUCUGAACUUUUGAGAAUGUUCCACGAAUCUUCUCUAUUACUUACACAUGGAGCCCCAUAGAACCCGGUGAAUCUCUAUUCCCGAGCUUCAUGCGCUUCUUUGACCAUUACAUCCACAUGGUUUUUUGAGAAACUGCGUAAAGUAACUAUAAUCAAAUCCUUUCAUGCCAAACAUAAUCCUUCACGAGUACCUACUACCGAUACAUCAAUCCUACUAACGAACCCUCAUUUGUUUCUCAUCUAUUUUUGUCUCUAUAAAGAAGACCAUCUAAGGGACAUGUAGCUUCAACACGUGCCGAAGUUUUCUAAUCGCUUGUGGAUUCCCCAGUCCACAAACAUUCCAACAUAAAGUUUUCAUUGUGCUCAGUUAGCUUGCCACGUGGCAGGCGCUGAUCCAAUUAUAAAAAGAGUAGAAUGAUACUCCAAAGUAGUCCCUUCAGCAUCCAAGAGCAUCGACACUAUAGGUUCUUUAUUCUUGAAUUUUAAUUUUUUGAUACCUUCCCUAUUAGGCAGAAGUUCAUCUUUAUCGUCCUUAUUCAAACAUAACUUCCCUUUUUUCCCAACUCCUUAUUCAAACAUAACUUCCCUUUUUUUCCCAACACUUACUUCCUCUUAUUGUGCAGCCAUCACCCCCAUGCUAUCUUCUUCCACUGAACUUUCUUAACAUUCCUAUUUUUACCCUCCAUAUAGCUUGAUUUCCAAACUAACCUUCCCUAAUUUCAAAGUCCAUCCUUACAUCAGCAACAGUUGAUUCAAAAUAAUCCCCCAGUUUAGUGCUAAUUCCCUCAAUCAGUGGUGAGGAAACCAUGUUAGAAUCCCCCAAAUCACGCCUCAAAUUAUUAGUAACUAUAUUUGGUAAAGACUCUUCCAAAGCCCUAUCGUCAACCAAAUGGUGAACUGUCGCCGAAAACUGUACCUCAAGGUUUCUUCCACCCUUACCUCCUUCACCCAUCUUCGAUAGCUCAAUAUUCCCUGUUUAAAAACACUCAUACAUUGAUGUUUUUGGUGGAAAAAUCAAAUUGCAAACUUUCUUUUCCAAGCAACGAAGUUUUUGCCCUCAGCGCAACUGAAUACGGGAAAUUUUAGCCCGCUUCGUCCCUUUCCCCCAACGGGAUAAAAUCACAUUCUUGUAUCCCAUGUCCCAUUCUCCUACAACCAAAACAAAAGGUUACCAGAUUUUCGUACUUAAAGGAGAUCUAAACCUUUACAUUUCCAUCCGUUGAAAUAAAUAUACCCUGACGCAGAUGCUUCUGCGCAUUCAGUUGAACCCAAAGUCAGCAAAACUCACCUUUAAUUUUUGACCAUAUUACGCCUCCAAAAGUCGAUUUGAUCGCAUGUAAAAGAUCCUUUUUAUCACAUUUCAACGAGCAAGGACUGAUUUUUAACCAAAAAGGGGAAAGGAUAAGCCUGAUUUUUGAUUGAUAUAUAGGGUUUCUUAGACGAGAAAAAACAAUAAACAAUCUCCUAAAAAGCCAAGGGUGACCCUCCAUAAUCAUCUCCAACCUCCAUAAUUAUCUUCGCACUUAAAUGAUAUAAAAAUUAAGUUUUGCCUCGUCACUUGAAUUUCAAAUUUCUUCUUUGUUUUCCAAAUGCUCUUCAAUUAUGCUCGAAAACUAUUUGGAUUGUAAGACUUUUGCGUCCAAACAGAGCAUAUCAAUGUCGGGUUCUCACUAGGGAUAACUUGUGAACUCUUCACCAUUAACUGAACCAACUCUUCCUCUAAAAGGGAGAUCUUAUCUAUCCCCUUUCCGAUUUCGAUAAAGUCACCACCCUUCUUCAACCUAAUCACAGCAAACACUGUUUCUCUAGGACAUUGAGAGAGAGCACUCUUGACUAAUACAGAAAAUAUUUGUAGUUAAUUUAUUUUCUUUUUAUAAAUGAAAAACCAAAAAAGUAAUAAUCGAAAAAUUAAAUAUGUUAAAUUAAAUUAAUUGAUUCCGGCUUCUCUUCACAUUUCUAUAUGUAAAAUUGAUUUAAAAUAAUGAUAUUUAUCAUAAUAUAUAUUGAUUUAAAAUUUAGACUCGAAGUGACAAAUUUGAAAUAAAGUACUGAUUUUACGUUGUAAAAUUUGAUUUAAAACAUUGAUUUAAAGUAAUAAAAUCUGAAAUAAAUUUAAAUUUAAAGUGAUAAAUAAAAUAUUAAUUUAAUUUUUUAUUUAAUGUUUUAGAUACCAACUUGAAUUGGGGUUUUUAUGGACUAUAAAUACCCAUUAGAAUAUUGGCAAAGUUUAUUUUUUCAGACAAAAUAGCAGGUAGUGAAUUUUAAUUGUGAAAGUAUAAAUUUCAUUCGAAAUUCCGAACAAUGGAGAGGUGUCUCGCAUUCAAGAGUCACGAUGAACAUUGCAUAUUGAUCUAGCAGUGGACAAUAUACAUUCCAUUCGAAAUUCCGAAUGAUGGAGAAGUUCUAGCAUCCAAGAGCCACGAUGGACGUUGCAUGUCAAUUCAGCGGUGGACAAUAUGGAUACGAUAGAGAGGAGUUUGAAAAUAAGGAUAAAAUUUAGAGGUUCUAAAUAGUUUUAUUUCUGAAUUAAUAGAUAUAGAAUGGGGAGUGGAAGAGAAGAAAUUUGGCGAAUACUGAUCGACGAGCAACAAUGACGACGAUGACAACAUUGGCGACCGAAACAACAAAAAUAGAAGUCGAGAGAAAAAGAAAAAGAAGCUUUCUCUCUUUCAAAGAGAAAAAAGAAAGGAAAGAAAAAUACAUUAAAUAAGUUUUAAUUAAAAUAAAUAAUAAAAAAUAUUUAGUAUUAAAAAUUUUCACGUGCCUCAUUGAAGUGAAUUUGAUUGGGGGGAUAAGGGAUAAUUUCAC
rnacentral:lncRNA from 1 species